UACGGAGGAUCCAAGCGUUAUCCGGAUUUAUUGGGUUUAAAGGGUGCGUAGGCGGCGCGCUAAGUCAGUGGUGAAAGACGGUGGCUCAACCAUCGCAGUGCCGUUGAUACUGGCGCGCUUGAAUGCGGAUGAGGUAGGCGGAAUGUGGCAAGUAGCGGUGAAAUGCAUAGAUAUGCCACAGAACACCGAUUGCGAAGGCAGCUUACCAAGGCGAUAUUGACGCUGAUGCACGAAAGCGUGGGGAUCGAACAGG
rnacentral:rRNA from 2 species